rnacentral:sRNA from 1 species
AAGCGAUGCCCCCUCUAACUGAGCCUUGCCGCGUUUAUUGUGGUCAAAGUCUGCAACUUCCUGUUCUUUCUCUCCUUAAGGGCAAAUCACCAGGAUUUUCAGCUGAGAAAUUUAAGAAUAAUUGAACCUAACGAGGUGACACACUCAGGAGACACAGGUGUGGAAACAGACAGCAGAAUGCCUCCGAAGGUGACUUCAGAGCUGCUUCGGCAGCUGAGACAAGCCAUGAGGAACUCUGAGUAUGUGACUGAACCGAUCCAGGCCUACAUCAUCCCAUCGGGGGAUGCUCAUCAGAGUGAGUAUAUUGCUCCAUGUGACUGUCGGCGGGCUUUUGUCUCUGGAUUCGAUGGCUCUGCGGGCACAGCCAUCAUCACAGAAGAGCAUGCAGCCAUGUGGACUGACGGGCGCUACUUUCUCCAGGCUGCCAAGCAAAUGGACAGCAAUUGGACACUUAUGAAGAUGGGUCUGAAGGACACACCAACUCAGGAAGACUGGCUGGUGAGUGUGCUUCCUGAAGGAUCCAGGGUUGGUGUGGACCCCUUGAUCAUUCCUACAGGUAAGUG